CAGCCUAUGAGCCUCCAGCCCCUGCCCCAUUGCCUCCACCCUCAGCUGCCUCCUUGCAGCCCUCGAGAAAGCUCAGCCCCACAGAACCUAAGAACUAUGGCUCAUACAGCACUCAGGUACAGGAGAUGUGCAGGUGAGGGCUGGGGAGAAGGGCCAGUCCUGGGGCCCAGGGCUCACAUCUCCGUCUGCUCACACUGGGCAGGCCUCAGCUGCAGCAGCCACAGCUGAGCUGCUAAAGAAACAGGAGGAGCUCAACCGGAAGGCAGAGGAGUUGGACCGAAGGGAGCGAGAGCUGCAGCAUGCUGCCCUGGGGGGCACAGCUACUCGACAGAACAAUUGGCCCCCUCUACCUUCUUUUUGUCCAGUUCAGCCCUGCUUUUUCCAGGACAUCUCCAUGGAGAUCCCCCAAGAAUUUCAGAAGACUGUAUCCACCAUGUACUACCUCUGGAUGUGCAGCACGCUGGCUCUUCUCCUGAACUUCCUCGCCUGCCUGGCCAGCUUCUGUGUGGAAACCAACAAUGGCGCAGGCUUUGGGCUUUCUAUCCUCUGGGUCCUCCUUUUCACGCCCUGCUCCUUUGUCUGCUGGUACCGCCCCAUGUAUAAGGCUUUCCGGAGUGACAGUUCAUUCAAUUUCUUCGUUUUCUUCUUCAUUUUCUUCGUCCAGGAUGUGCUCUUUGUCCUCCAGGCCAUUGGUAUCCCAGGUUGGGGAUUCAGUGGCUGGAUCUCCGCUCUGGUGGUGCCGAAGGGCAACACAGCAGUAUCCGUGCUCAUGCUGCUGGUCGCCCUGCUCUUCACUGGCAUUGCUGUGCUAGGAAUUGUCAUGCUGAAACGGAUCCACUCCUUAUACCGCCGCACAGGUGCCAGCUUUCAGAAGGCCCAGCAAGAAUUUGCUGCUGGUGUCUUCUCCAACCCUGCGGUGCGAACCGCAGCUGCCAAUGCAGCCGCUGGGGCUGCUGAAAAUGCCUUCCGGGCCCCGUGACCCCUGACUGGGAUGCCCUGGCCCUGCCACUU
rnacentral:sRNA from 1 species